rnacentral:rRNA from 1 species
AACCAAAGGGGGCGAGCGUAAGCAGCUCUCACCGAAGGAGGAGCCUGCGUCCGAUUAGCUAGUUGGUGGGGUAAUGGCCUACCAAGGCGACGAUCGGUAGCCGGCCUGAGAGGGCGAUCGGCCACACUGGAACUGAGACACGGUCCAGACUCCUACGGGAGGCAGCAGUGGGGAAUAUUGCGCAAUGGGCGAAAGCCUGACGCAGCGACGCCGCGUGGGUGAUGAAGGCCUUCGGGUCGUAAAGCCCUGUCUGGUGGAACGAAACGCCUGGCGGCCAAUACCCGCUGGGUUUGACGGUACCACCGAAGGAAGCCCCGGCUAACUACGUGCCAGCAGCCGCGGUAAGACGUAGGGGGCGAGCGUUGUUCGGAUUUACUGGGCGUAAAGCGCGCGUAGGCGGCCAGAUAAGUCGGGUGUGAAAGCCCUCGGCUCAACCGAGGUUCCGCAUCCGAUACUGCUUGGCUGGAGUCUAGGAGAGGAGAGCGGAAUUCCCAGUGUAGCGGUGAAAUGCGUAGAUAUUGGGAGGAACACCCGUGGCGAAGGCGGCUCUCUGGACUAGUACUGACGCUGAGGCGCGAAAGCUAGGGGAGCGAACGGAAUUAGAUACCCCGGUAGUCCUAGCCGUAAACGAUGGGCACUAGGUGUGGGAGGUAUUGACCCCUUCCGCGCCGAAGCUAACGCAUUAAGUGCCCCGCCUGGGGAGUACGGCCGCAAGGCUAAAACUCAAAGGAAUUGACGGGGGCCCGCACAAGCGGUGGAGCAUGUGGUUCAAUUCGACGCAACGCGAAGAACCUUACCAGGGCUUGACAUCCCACGAACCUGCCUGAAAGGGCGGGGUGCCCGCAAGGGAGCGCGGAGA